GCGGGGGUGCCAGAGUCCGGUCAAAUGGGCUAGCUUGAGGGGCUAGUGGCUUAGUGCCUGCCAGGGUUCGAAUCCCUGCUCCCGCA
rnacentral:tRNA from 1 species